UUACGGUCAAAUCACGCUGAAACACCGGUUCUCGUACGAUCACCGAAGUUAAGCAGCGUAGAGCCAGGUCAGUACUUAGAUGGGGGACCGCUUGGGAACACCUAGUACUGUAAG
rnacentral:rRNA from 1 species